UGAGUAGGCCGCUGAGCAAGUCAAAGAUGAAAUCCCGUGGCUCAACUGCGGAAUGGUCUUUGAAACUGCUUAGCUUGAGGAUAGUUGAAGAGAAUGGAAUUCCCGGUGGAGCGGUGAAAUGCGUAGAUAUCGGGAGGAACACCUGAGGCGAAGGCGAUUCUCUAAGCUACUCCUGACGCUGAAUCACGAAAGCUAGGGGAGCAAACGGGAUUAGAUACCCCGGUAGUCCUAGCCUUAAACGAUGGAUACUAGAUAUUCCUGCGUUCAUGUGGGAGUGUCGAAGCUAACGCGCUAAGUAUCCCGCCUGGGGAGUACGGUCGCAAGAUUGAA
rnacentral:rRNA from 1 species